rnacentral:rRNA from 1 species
AAUAGAUACCCGGGUAGUCCACGCUGUAAACGAUGAAGACUAGAUGUUGGUAGGGGAACCUAUCGGUAUCGAAGCUAACGCGAUAAGUCUUCCGCCUGGGAAGUACGGCCGCAAGGUUGAAACUCAAAGAAAUUGACGGGGGCCCGCACAAGCGGUGGAGCAUGUGGUUUAAUUCGAUGCAACGCGAAGAACCUUACCUACCCUUGACAUCCUGCGAAUCCGGCUGAGAGGCUGGAGUGCCGAAAGGAACGCAGAGACAGGUGCUGCAUGGCUGUCGUCAGCUCGUGUUGUGAGAUGUUGGGUUAAGUCCCGUAACGAGCGCAACCCUUGUCCUUAGUUGCCAUCAUUUAGUUGGGGACUCUAAGGAGACUGCCGGUGAUGAACCGGAGGAAGGCGGGGACGACGUCAAGUCAUCAUGGCCUUUAUGGGUAGGGCUACACACGUGCUACAAUGGGGCGUACAGAGGGUCGCCAACCCGCGAGGGGGAGCUAAUCUCUUAAAGCGUCUCGUAGUCCGGAUUGGAGUCUGCAAUUCGACUCC